UACGAAGGGGGCUAGCGUUGUUCGGAAUUACUGGGCGUAAAGGGCGCGUAGGCGGCUUUUCAAGUGACGGGUGAAAUCCCUCGGCUUAACCGAGGAACUGCCUGUCAGACUGGAAGGCUUGAGACCGGGAGAGGUGAGUGGAAUUCCCAGUGUAGCGGUGAAAUGCGUAGAUAUUGGGAGGAACACCAGUGGCGAAGGCGGCUCACUGGACCGGAACUGACGCUGAGGCGCGAAAGCGUGGGGAGCAAACAGG
rnacentral:rRNA from 1 species